rnacentral:rRNA from 1 species
GAGAGAUUGGGGAGUGCUCGAAAGAGAACCAGUACACAGGUGCUGCAUGGCUGUCGUCAGCUCGUGUCGUGAGAUGUUGGGUUAAGUCCCGCAACGAGCGCAACCCUUGUCAUUAGUUGCUACGAAAGAGCACUCUAAUGAGACUGCCGGUGACAAACCGGAGGAAGGUGGGGAUGACGUCAAGUCCUCAUGGCCCUUAUGGGUAGGGCUUCACACGUCAUACAAUGGUACAUACAGAGGGCCGCCAACCCGCGAGGGGGAGCUAAUCCCAGAAAGUGUAUCGUAGUCCGGAUUGUAGUCUGCAACUCGACUGCAUGAAGUUGGAAUCGCUAGUAAUCGCGGAUCAGCAUGUCGCGGUGAAUACGUUCCCGGGUCUUGUACACACCGCCCGUCACACCAUGGGAGCGGGUUUUACCAGAAGUAGGUAGCUUAACCGCAAGGAGGGCGCUUACCACGGUAGGAUUCGUGACUGGGGUGAAGUCGUAACAAGGUAGCCGUAUCGGAAGGUGCGGCUGGAUCACCUCCUUUCUAG